UACGUAGGGGGCGAGCGUUGUCCGGAUUCAUUGGGCGUAAAGAGCUCGUAGGCGGCUUGACAAGUCGGGUGUGAAAACUCCAGGCUCAACCUGGAGAUGCCACUCGAGACUGUUAUGGCUAGAGUCCGGUAGGGGACCAUGGAAUUCCUGGUGUAGCGGUGAAAUGCGCAGAUAUCAGGAGGAACACCGGUGGCGAAGGCGGUGGUCUGGGCCGAUACUGACGCUGAGGAGCGAAAGCGUGGGGAGCGAACAGG
rnacentral:rRNA from 1 species